GCUUCCAUAGCUCAGCUGGUAGCAGCGUUAGACUGAAGAUCUAAAGGUCGUUGGUUCGAACCCGACUGGAAGCA
rfam:Entamoeba invadens IP1 unplaced genomic scaffold scaff_1105074726367, whole genome shotgun sequence.